GCGGGUAUAACUCAGUGGUAGAGUGUAUGCUUAGCAUGCCUGAGGUCAUGGGUUCUAUCCCCAGUACCUCCA
rnacentral:tRNA from 1 species